ACAAGCAGAACGAGAGAGAGAGAGAGAGAGAGAGAGAGAACGAGUGCAAGAGAGCGCACAAUUUUUUGGCAAAAACUUUUUUGGCAAAAAUUACUCAGCCAAAGCGGCCGAACAACAAAAUAACGAAGCUUGACGAAGAUCGUCUCUCGCUCUCUCUCUCUCUCUCUCUUUCGGCCUUU
rnacentral:miRNA from 1 species